CCUACGGGCGGCUGCAGUCGAGAAUCAUUCACAAUGGGGGAAACCCUGAUGGUGCGACGCCGCGUGGGGGAAUGAAGGUCUUCGGAUUGUAAACCCCUGUCAUGUGGGAGCAAAUUAAAAAGAUAGUACCACAAGAGGAAGAGACGGCUAACUCUGUGCCAGCAGCCGCGGUAAUACAGAGGUCUCAAGCGUUGUUCGGAAUCACGGGGCGUAAGGCGUGCGGAGGCUGUGUCGUAAGUCGUGUGUGAAAGGCGCGGGCUCAACCCGCGGACGGCACAUGAUAAUGCGAGACUAGAGUAAUGGAGGGGGAAACGGAAUUCUCGGUGUAGCAGUGAAAUGCGUAGAUAUCGAGAGGAACACUCGUGGCGAAGGCGGGUUCCUGGACAUUAACUGACGCUGAGGCACGAAGGCCAGGGGAGCGAAAGGGAUUAGAUACCCUUGUAGUC
rnacentral:rRNA from 1 species